GACGAACGCUGGCGGCGUGCCUAAUACAUGCAAGUUGAGCGAUGAAGCUUGGUGCUUGCACCAAUUUGAAGAGCAGCGAACGGGUGAGUAACGCGUGGGGAAUCUGCCUUUGAGCGGGGGACAACAUUUGGAAACGAAUGCUAAUACCGCAUAACAACUUUAAACAUAAGUUUUAAGUUUGAAAGAUGCAAUUGCAUCACUCAAAGAUGAUCCCGCGUUGUAUUAGCUAGUUGGUGAGGUAAAGGCUCACCAGGGCGAUGAUACAUAGCCGACCUGAGAGGGUGAUCGGCCACAUUGGGACUGAGACACGGCCCAAACUCCUACGGGAGGCAGCAGUAGGGAAUCUUCGGCAAUGGACGAAAGUCUGACCGAGCAACGCCGCGUGAGUGAAGAAGGUUUUCGGAUCGUAAAACUCUGUUGGUAGAGAAGAACGUUGGUGAGAGUGGAAAGCUCAUCAAGUGACGGUAACUACCCAGAAAGGGACGGCUAACUACGUG
rnacentral:rRNA from 1 species